rnacentral:rRNA from 1 species
CUACGGGCGGCAGCAGUGGGGAAUAUUGGGCAAUGGGCGAAAGCCUGACCCAGCAACGCCGCGUGAUUGAAGAAGGUCUUCGGAUUGUAAAGAUCUGUCCUUGGGGACGAAAAUAAUGACGGUACCCAAGGAGGAAGCCCCGGCUAACUACGUGCCAGCAGCCGCGGUAAUACGUAGGGGGCGAGCGUUGUCCGGAAUUACUGGGCGUAAAGGGUGCGCAGGCGGCGCUUUAAGUCAGAUGUGAAAUAUUCGGGCUCAACCCGAAGGGGACAUUUGAAACUGGAGUGCUUGAGUGCAGGAGAGGAAAGUGGAAUUCCUAGUGUAGCGGUGAAAUGCGUAGAUAUUAGGAGGAACACCAGUGGCGAAGGCGACUUUCUGGACUGUAACUGACGCUGAGGCACGAAAGCGUGGGGAGCAAACAGGAUUAGAUACCCGAGUAGUC